AGUGAACGCUGGCGGUAGGCCUAACACAUGCAAGUCGAACGGCAGCACAGUAAGAGCUUGCUCUUACGGGUGGCGAGUGGCGGACGGGUGAGGAAUACAUCGGAAUCUACUUUUUCGUGGGGGGUAACGUAGGGAAACUUACGCUAAUACCGCAUACGACCUACGGGUGAAAGCAGGGGAUCUUCGGACCUUGCGCGAUUGAAUGAGCCGAUGUCGGAUUAGCUAGUUGGCGGGGUAAAGGCCCACCAAGGCGACGAUCCGUAGCUGGUCUGAGAGGAUGAUCGGCCACACUGGAACUGAGACACGGUCCAGACUCCUACGGGAGGCAGCAGUGGGGAAUAUUGGACAAUGGGCGCAAGCCUGAUCCAGCAAUACCGCGUGGGUGAAGAAGGCCUUCGGGUUGUAAAGCCCUUUUGUUGGGAAAGAAAAGCAGCAGGUUAAUACCCCGCUGUUCUGACGGUACCCAAAGAAUAAGCACCGGCUAACUUCGUG
rnacentral:rRNA from 1 species